AACGCACCUUGCGCUCCUUGGUAUUCCGAGGAGCAUGCCUGUUUGAGUGUCAUUAAUAUAUCAACCUCUAAAGCUUUUGCUUAUUUGAGUUGGAUGUGGGGGUUUUUUGCUGGCCUUUCUCAGGUCAGCUCCCCUGAAAUUCAUUAGCAGAACAAUUUGUUAACCGUUCAUUGGUGUGAUAACUAUCUACGCUAUUGACGGAAAGCAGUUCAGCUCCUAACAGUCCAUUGACUUGGACAAUCUUUCUAUUAAUGUGACCUCAAAUCAGGUAGGACUACCCGCUGAACUUAA
rnacentral:misc_RNA from 1 species